rnacentral:rRNA from 1 species
ACGGAGGGAGCGAGCGUUAUUCGGACUUAUUGGGCGUAAAGCGCGCGUAGGCGGCUGGGUAAGUCAGAUGUCAAAUACUUCGGCUUAACCGGAGAACUGCAUUUGAAACUGGAUGACUAGAGUACAGGAGAGGGAGAUGGAAUUCCCGGUGUAGCGGUGAAAUGCGUAGAGAUAGGGAGGAACACCAAUGGCGAAGGCGAUAUUCUGGUCUGAUACUGACGCUGAGGCGCGAAAGCGUGGGGAGCAAACAG